CCUACGGGAGGCAGCAAUUAGGAAUCUUGUGCAAUGGGGGCAACCCUGACACAGCGACGCCGCGUGGAGGAUGACGGCCUUCGGGUUGUAAACUCCUUUUAGACAGGAAGAAGACAGUGACGGUACUGUCAGAAGAAGCCCCGGCUAACUCCGUGCCAGCAGCCGCGGUAAUACGGAGGGGGCGAGCGUUGUCCGAAGUUACUGGGCGUAAAGCGCGCGUAGGCGGGUUGCCAAGUCCGCUGUGAAAGCCUGACGCUUAACGUCAGCGGGUCGGUGGAUACUGGCAGUCUUGAAGGCGUUAGGGGAAGACGGAAUUACCUGUGGAGCGGUGAAAUGCGUAGAGAUAGGUAGGAACACCGGUGGCGAAGGCGGUCUUCUGGGACGUCCUUGACGCUGAGGCGCGAAAGCUGGGGGAGCGAACGGGAUUAGAUACCCCGGUAGUCCCAGCCGUAAACGAUGGAUACUAGAUGUCGCGGGUAUCGACCCCUGCGGUGUCGUCGCAAACGCAGUAAGUAUCCCGCCUGGGAGUACGGCCGCAAGGUUGAAACUCAAAGGAAUUGACGG
rnacentral:rRNA from 1 species